rnacentral:rRNA from 1 species
AGCGAACGCUGGCGGCGUGCUUAACACAUGCAAGUCGAGCGAAGGUGUUUCAAGGGUAACCUUGAGAUACACUUAGCGGCGGACGGGUGAGUAAUACGUGGAUAACUUACCUCUAGGCCUGGGAUAACCCCGGGAAACUGGGGCUAAUACCUGAUAAGACCACAUUGUCUACGGACAAAGGGGUAAAAGGUGGCUGUGCAAACAGCUAUCGCCAAAAGAUAGGUUCACGUCCCAUCAGGCAGUGGUGAGGUAAUGGCUCACCAAACCAAAGACGGGUAGCCGGCCUUGGCGGGUGAACGGCCACACGGGGACUGAGACACGGCCCCGACUCCUACGGGAGGCAGCAGUGGGGAAUAUUGGGCAAUGGGCGCAAGCCUGACCCAGCGACGUC